rnacentral:rRNA from 1 species
GACGAACGCUGGCGGCGUGCCUAAUACAUGCAAGUAGAACGCUGAAGAGAGGAGCUUGCUCUUCUUGGAUGAGUUGCGAACGGGUGAGUAACGCGUAGGUAACCUGCCUUGUAGCGGGGGAUAACUAUUGGAAACGAUAGCUAAUACCGCAUAACAAUGGAUGACACAUGUCAUUUAUUUGAAAGGGGCAAUUGCUCCACUACAAGAUGGACCUGCGUUGUAUUAGCUAGUAGGUGAGGUAACGGCUCACCUAGGCGACGAUACAUAGCCGACCUGAGAGGGUGAUCGGCCACACUGGGACUGAGACACGGCCCAGACUCCUACGGGAGGCAGCAGUAGGGAAUCUUCGGCAAUGGGGGCAACCCUGACCGAGCAACGCCGCGUGAGUGAAGAAGGUUUUCGGAUCGUAAAGCUCUGUUGUAAGUCAAGAACGAGUGUGAGAGUGGAAAGUUCACACUGUGACGGUAGCUUACCAGAAAGGGACGGCUAACUACGUGCCAGCAGCCGCGGUAAUACGUAGGUCCCGAGCGUUGUCCGGAUUUAUUGGGCGUAAAGCGAGCGCAGGCGGUUUGAUAAGUCUGAAGUUAAAGGCUGUGGCUCAACCAUAGUUCGCUUUGGAAACUGUCAAACUUGAGUGCAGAAGGGGAGAGUGGAAUUCCAUGUGUAGCGGUGAAAUGCGUAGAUAUAUGGAGGAACACCGGUGGCGAAAGCGGCUCUCUGGUCUGUAACUGACGCUGAGGCUCGAAAGCGUGGGGAGCGAACAGGAUUAGAUACCCUGGUAGUCCACGCCGUAAACGAUGAGUGCUAGGUGUUGGAUCCUUUCCGGGAUUCAGUGCCGCAGCUAACGCAUUAAGCACUCCGCCUGGGGAGUACGACCGCAAGGUUGAAACUCAAAGGAAUUGACGGGGGCCCGCACAAGCGGUGGAGCAUGUGGUUUAAUUCGAAGCAACGCGAAGAACCUUACCAGGUCUUGACAUCCCGAUGCUAUUUCUAGAGAUAGAAAGUUACUUCGGUACAUCGGUGACAGGUGGUGCAUGGUUGUCGUCAGCUCGUGUCGUGAGAUGUUGGGUUAAGUCCCGCAACGAGCGCAACCCCUAUUGUUAGUUGCCAUCAUUCAGUUGGGCACUCUAGCGAGACUGCCGGUAAUAAACCGGAGGAAGGUGGGGAUGACGUCAAAUCAUCGUGCCCCUUAUGACCUGGGCUACACACGUGCUGCAAUGGUUGGUACAACGAGUUGCGAGUCGGUGACGGCAAGCUAAUCUCUUAAAGCCAAUCUCAGUUCGGAUUGUAGGCUGCAACUCGCCUACAUGAAGUCGGAAUCGCUAGUAAUCGCGGAUCAGCACGCCGCGGUGAAUACGUUCCCGGGCCU